ensembl:misc_RNA Metazoa_SRP Metazoan signal recognition particle RNA
GCCGGGCUCAGUGACGUGUGCCUGUAGUUCCAGCUACUCAGGAAGCUGAAGUGGGAGGAUCACUUGAACCCAGGAGUUCUGGGCUGUAGUGUGAUAUGACAAUUGGGUGUCUGCACCAAGUUUGGCAUCAUUAUGGUGACUUCCUGGGAGUGGGGGACCACCAGGUUGCCUAAGGAGCAGGUCAAAACUCCUGUGCCACUGCACUCCAGCCUGGGAAACAGCAAGACUCAGUCUCUU